rnacentral:tRNA from 1 species
AAUAAGAUGUCUGAAAAAGAGUUACUUUGAUAGAGUAAAGAAUGUGCCACAAUACCACUCUUAUUA